rnacentral:rRNA from 1 species
UACGGAGGGUGCAAGCGUUAUCCGGAUUCACUGGGUUUAAAGGGUGCGUAGGUGGGCAGGUAAGUCAGUGGUGAAAUCCCCGAGCUUAACUUGAGAACUGCCAUUGAUACUAUUGAUCUUGAAUACCGUGGAGGUCAGCGGAAUAUGUCAUGUAGCGGUGAAAUGCUUAGAUAUGACAUAGAACACCAAUUGCGAAGGCAGCUGGCUACGCGAAUAUUGACACUGAUGCACGAAAGCGUGGGGAUCAAACAGG